CGGAGGGAUCAUUACCGAGUGCAAACUCCAUACCCACUGUAAACAUACCUGUCGCGUUGCUUUGGCAGGCGGUCCCAGGGCGGGACCAUCGCCCCAACGGUGCUUGCCACAGCGCAAACAAACUCUUGUCGUGGCGGUCUUCUGAGUGAAAAACAAAAAUAAUCAAAACUUUCAACAACGGAUCUCUUGGCUCCAGCAUCGAUGAAGAACGCAGCGAAAUGCGAUAAGUAAUGCGAAUUGCAGAAUUCCGCGAGUCAUCGAAUCUUUGAACGCACAUUGCGCCCGGCAGUACUCUGCCGGGCACGCCUGUUCGAGCGUCAUUUCAACCCUCAAGCGUGUCUUGGUGUUGAGGCCCCUGUAGCGUCUACAGGGCCUCCAAACAAAGUGGCGCCCCGUCGCGACGUCUCUCACGCAGUACAAUUCUCGUGCCGGACGUCGGCCUAGCGGCAGCCGUUAAAAAGCUCCAUUAUCUUUUGGCUUGACCUCGGAUCAGGUGGGACUACCCGCUGAACUUAAGCAUAUCAAUAAGCGGAGGAAAAGAAACCAACAGGGAUUGCCUCAGUAACGGCGAGUGAAGCGGCAACAGCUCAAAUUUGAAAUCUGGCCCCGUGCCCGAGUUGUAAUUUGUAGAGGAUGCUUUUGGCGCGGCGCCUUCCGAGUUCCCUGGAACGGGACGCCAGAGAGGGUGAGAGCCCCGUAUGGUCGGACGCCUAGCCUCUGUAAAGCUCCUUCGACGAGUCGAGUAGUUUGGGAAUGCUGCUCUAAAUGG
rnacentral:rRNA from 1 species